rnacentral:rRNA from 1 species
UACAGAGGGUGCGAGCGUUGUCCGGAAUCACUGGGCGUAAAGGGCGCGUAGGUGGUGGCUUAAGCGUGCGGUGAAAGCUCGGAGCUCAACUCCGAGUCAGCCGUGCGAACUGGGCUCACUGGAGCAUAGUAGAGGCAGGUGGAAUUCCGGGUGUAGCGGUGGAAUGCGUAGAGAUCCGGAAGAACACCGGUGGCGAAGGCGGCUUCCUGGUCUGCAACUGACGCUGUGGCGCGAAAGCUAGGGGAGCAAACGGG